CUCAAACCUGGAUCCGGAGCCUCUGCUGCAUGAGAAGAAAGGAGAGGGGGAAAAAAAAAAAAACCCCACCACCACUCUCACACACAUACAUACACUCUGCCGCUGUAAUGUUAUUAGAGCUACACAGCGGAUCACUCUGGUCUCUUCUGCUCUCUCUCUUUUCUCUUCAGAAAUUAAAGCAGAACUGCAUCUGAGAGUGGAAAAGGUCCCCCUUCUGUUUUAACAUUCUUGGAUGCUGUGGACCCUGGCUGCUGCAACACUGCCUGUAUGUGAUUUAUGAAAGUGUGUGCAUACGUAUAAAGAAAUCCCACCUUCUACUGCAACAGAAGACUUAUCAGUGCCAGAUUCCUAAAACAGCAUCUUGCUGCAGCUGUACAGCUUACAGCACUGGAGCACCAGAUGGACAUUCCAGAAAUAAACAAAUAUUUUGGUUCUGGAUAAAGUUCUUGGGAAAGGCCAAGGAAGAUAGCAUAUUGGAAAAGAGACAAUAGAGUGUGAGCCAUACAAUAAAUGUUACCAUGUGGAAUGUGAACCACCUGACUAAAUCAGACACCUCUAGAGAGGAAAAAAAGGAAACAGCAAAUACCUUUAUAUCCCUUGACGCCAUCAAAGGAAGCCUGCAAUGCAUGGCAUCAGGUCCUCUGAGGUUUAAUAUCUGAUGUGUUUGCAUCUCUGAUG